GUCAACUAUUUCUCCCUAUAAGUAUGCAGCAUGGAAGAAAUGGUAUGAGCACAUCCGUAACGAUAGACAACAUUAAUUUCCCAGACUAGUAGCUGUAUUAACCACAAGAUAAAAUGUUAAUACCUGACUGAGUCUUACUUCAUGCUUACUGAUACAAUGGACAAUGCACGAAUAUCCUUUCAGUCAAAAAGCACAACCGGAAACAGUCACAAAUUUGACCUGGCGAUAAAUUUAAUAAUCAAUCCUCAUAAGCAUUCUACACUCUAGGCAUAGAUCUUUUGGUUCUAUAUUGGCUUACUAAUACACAUCAAUAAAUUAAAAAUCCUCCAGAAAGACAUAUUGUAUUGAUUUUUCUUCUUCUAUGACUAGGCAACCUAACAUAAAAUGAAGUCACGCAUUGUACCUCUUAUGCACAUCCCUGAACAUAUCAAUCAGUUUGCCAACUCCCGAGGUUAACUAUUCUCACUUUCAUCUCUUAACAUAUCAUGCGAUAUUUACUAGCUUUGCACGUCUAGUUUUGGGGUCAACUUCUACUUGAAGCCCAAGUCGAGCAAGUUCCGGAACAUCUGCAGUUCCUUGAAGCUCUAAAUAAGCAACAGCCCCUUGGUUUUCUGCAUUUCCUUCCAAUAGGUUUCUCGCGCACCAGAUUCCCCACUCCCUUAAGAAAGGUGAAGCUCUAAAUCAGCAACAGCCCCUUGGUUUUCUGCAUUUCCUUCCAAUAGGUUUCUCGCGCACCAGAUUCCCCACUCCCUUAAGAAAGGAUUAUCAUCAUCUGUAACACACUGUUGUAGCAGUAAAAGGAUCCCAUUUUUAUCUCUAAUCUCAUCUUGGACGUGCCUUCUCCUAUAAGCACAGUUUCCAAGGAUGGCAACAAUAUCUCUCCGGAAACCUUUGUAAGGACAACACCUCAAUGACGAAGAUGAUGUUGCCUCCUUGAUCUGAUCCUGUGUCAUUGCUUUCCUAAUUGUCGUUGGAGGUUCAAGAUUUCGAAGUAAGUCCAGAAGAAGUUCAAUAAGCCGAGAGGAAACUAAUAUAUCCACGACAUCCUUUGGACCUUCCUCCCUAGAGCUUGUCAGGUGACCACACGCGCAAAUAUCUCUCAAGAUCACAAGUGAGUAUCCCAGAACAUCAAUAGGAGCAGACCCCGUUGGAAGAUCAUCUUUCCCUCUGUUUGAAAAGUCAACAACCACUGCAGCACUCUUAAAUAUCCCGAAGAUACUUAAAGCAAAAACAUGUGAAACAACAAUAUGCUCUAAUUGCUCAUUCAAGAUUGAUGAGAGGAUACUCAACAGAUGAGCUUGCUCACUAACAAAUUCGUAAGCUAAAUGUGUAACAAUAUCAUUGUCCUUAACACAAGGAUGUGAAU
rnacentral:lncRNA from 1 species